CCCUAUGUUUGAGUAUACCGGGCAAACGAGUGGAUCACAGGUUCGCUUACGUUUCCGAUGACGAGUACGAGGACUACGGCUAUGCGGCAUAGCCGCAUUAAACUAGCUUCGCCAAAAACCUUACUUUCGGGAGCACAAUAACCCUAUGAACAAAGUUAUUAGGGGGAAAAGUAGCUAAAGUAAACAAUUACCCUUAUUAGAAUCUGUUGUGUAACUAGAACCAGAAUACCCAGCCAGCAUUCCGGAUAAUUUUCCGGCUGAGCUUACUGGGAUUCCGAAUAGUUUGACCGAAUCGCAGUAUCACGGGGCAAGCGAACUAUGUUCACAUGCCGAACUUAAUGCGUAAAUGUGACCACAGCCACUGCAGCAGUUUUUUGAGCAACUUCCAGGAAUUCAAUCCUGCUCCGCACUAACCACAUUUAAACAUUAAAAAAGCGAAAAUACCAGUAGCAGCCAAACUGUUCCGUAUUCGUUAGCAAUCAAUAUCGUAACUGUUAGCAACACAGCUUGACCAUGUUUUGCCGGUCUCUAAAGUAAUCUGGAAUUUGACGAGGUGUAAGAAAAUCGGCUGAUUAGUGCUGCAACUUAUGGAGUUUUUCAUUGAAAAACCCCGGGGCGGUGGAUUGCACUGGUGUUGCAUUUUCUAGCAGAAGAGCAGGCCACUAGACGUGUUUCAUUCCCACUUCUGCAAGAAAGUGCAAAACCAGUGCAAUCCACUACCCCGGUGUUUUUCAAUGAAAAACGACAUUAUUAGACUAUCAGCACCAAUGAGUUAUAUAUAGGUGUGGCAGAACACACGGUUUGCCAAUGUUGGCCACCAAAAAUAUGUAAACAAUCCAGAAGCAAAACGGGUCGACGUCAUAGCGUUCACACGAUUCAAUGGGAGCCGAACGACCGGUAUGACGAAAGCAAGUCGAUUUAUUCUGAUAUCACUCACACCACUCAUGUAAGAUUCAUCUUACGAAUACCAAAGUGCCGUCUUAGCCCUACCUGUAUAUAUGACAUUGUAUCAGCACCGGUGCGUAAGCAAAUGCGUGUGUAUUUUGAUUACGCUAAACGAUAAUAAUAUAUUUAGACACCCGUUUUCGCACCGGUCGUUGGUAAAUGGGUUGCCAAAAUAAUAAUCUGUUUUCACACCGGUAGCUGUUAUUAUAGUAACGUUACAUUUUUUUGCAAUCAUGCAAUAAAAAAUCGUUUUUUUUAAUUAUUUGGAUUUAAUUCAGUGAAAAAAAUUUGACUAGAGAGAAAAUACAUUUAUUUAUUGAAUUCAACAAAACCGUUUCAGUAACAAGUAUCGUUCUCUUUUCCAAAAAUUAUUUUAUUGAAAUGGUUGCAAAUUUAUUCAAACUGGAAAUGUUCAUUGAAAUUAAAAGUUAAUUGUUGUUUCAAUGCAAAAAAUGUGUGUACCAUUAAUUUUGCCGUUUGAAGCAAUAAACAUUGUAUAAUUGAAUUCAAUAAGACAUUUUUUUGUUCAAAUAUGCUAAAAUUUUAACAUAAAAUAAUAAUUCUGAGAAAUUUGAUGGGUUCGAGACGGACGACGAUUUCUAUGAACUAAGGUUUGCCCGGCAGUUAUUGUCUGAAGCACAUACUACGACGGCUCCGAAUCAGGAGUGCAAUGAAGAGGAUCAUGUGUAUAAAUGGAAACAGACUUGCGGUGGAAUAAGUUUUUCGGCCAUUCAACGAUUGUUUUGCAGAACCAGUUUAUACGAACGAUCGGUUUCGAAGACACUUUCGUUUUUUAUGUAUUACGAAGGCUUUGAAGAGGAUAAUACUAUACUGAAAAGCCAGAGAGAAAGUUGGGUUUUACUAAAUUUUGCGGAAGCCAUCUGACAUACAUCUUUCGGACGCUACAGUCAAAUAUAUUCGCAUGGGAGAAAAUUUGCGCGUUAUUCUAUGUGAGAAUCCACCAUAUCUCAGAUAAUAGACGUUUAGACAGAUUCUGUAGAUAGUAUAGUUGGCCCUCUCGAAAUGGAAACAUUACUGUACAACUUGGGCAGAACAGUAUACAGUAAACAAAAAUAAUGAAGUGGUAGCACUUUAAGCGUGGCUUCAAUAAUGAUAUUAAUUUGCUGAAGUAAACUGCGUUGUUUUUCGAGGUUGAUACAUGGAGCACGUUGAUUCAUCAUAUCAUCUAACUUAGAACUAGAAUCAAGAAUCAGUAGCGACUGGCUCAAAUAGCACGUUCCCCAUGUUAAUCGGAGAUUUGUGGUUAAAAGACAAUUAUCAAAAUACACGUUGAGGGGAGGUUCCAAACCAAUAUUCACCAAACACGGUGUGCUCGUGAACAAAAGGAGUUUCAUCAACUCUUUCGUGACUGUUGUGAACUGCGCUGAACCAACAAUAGUUUCUCCGGAAUUUCACCUCAAUGUGGAU